AUUGAAUACAUUAUACCGUAGACAGCAGGUGUCAGAUAUGGCUUAAUUUCCUGCCGAGGUGUGUCUGGAUAUAUAACAGAGACCCUUUUUCUUUAGAAGGUCGAUCUGUUUCAAUAUCAGCCCUCAUGUCUUCCUGGAUUUGAGGGCUUUUAUUUGG
rnacentral:sRNA from 1 species